GACGAACGCUGGCGGCGUGCCUAAUACAUGCAAGUGGGACGCAAGGAAACACACUGUGCUUGCACACCGUGUUUUCUUGAGUCGCGAACGGGUGAGUAACGCGUAGGUAACCUGCCUAUUAGCGGGGGAUAACUAUUGGAAACGAUAGCUAAUACCGCAUAAUAUUAAUUAUUGCAUGAUAAUUGAUUGAAAGAUGCAAGCGCAUCACUAGUAGAUGGACCUGCGUUGUAUUAGCUAGUUGGUAAGGUAAGAGCUUACCAAGGCGACGAUACAUAGCCGACCUGAGAGGGUGAUCGGCCACACUGGGACUGAGACACGGCCCAGACUCCUACGGGAGGCAGCAGUAGGGAAUCUUCGGCAAUGGACGAAAGUCUGACCGAGCAACGCCGCGUGAGUGAAGAAGGUUUUCGGAUCGUAAAGCUCUGUUGUAAGUCAAGAACGUGUGUGAGAGUGGAAAGUUCACACAGUGACGGAGCUACCAGAAA
rnacentral:rRNA from 1 species